AGUCCUAUGGUCUAGUGGUAUGACGCUUCCUUCACACAGUUCGCUCUGUCUGAGGAUUCGGAAGAGGUCCUGGGUUCGAUCCCCAGUGGGACUA